AAGUCGUAACAAGGUUUCCGUAGGUGAACCUGCGGAAGGAUCAUUAUGAAUCAUAUUGGCGGUCCGGGCGCUCCUUCGGGGGAGUUCGGUCCUACCUCUAUACCCUUGCAUACCAAAACACUGUUGCUCGAGCGGGCUCACGCCCGCGAGAGGUAACCACAAACCUUUUUUAUGAAUGUCUGAAGUAUCAAACAAUACUAUAAAACUUUCAACAACGGAUCUCUUGGUUCCA
rnacentral:misc_RNA from 1 species